GUUCUCAAAAGAUUAUUGUACCAAAAUGCGUCACGUUAAGUUAUUUUUCUUCUUGGUGCUUGGUUCACUUACUCAUCUAGUGAUCAGUACCAAAAAUGCAGAUUUCGGGUUUUCAAAUCUGAAAAAUCCCACAAAUGAAAUGAGUCUUGUAAUUUUUGGAAAACCUUUAUCAGAAGUAGAAGAUUCCAUAAAACGUUUCAUACUAUAUACUUCAAAACCCACUAGUAAAGAUUUGAAACAAACUCUAAAAACAUCUUCACUGAAAGGAGAAAAUAUAAAAGAUUUAGUCACCAUCUCUACCAAAGUUGUUAUCGAAAAUUUAAGAAGUGGUUUCAGAAGUUUAGGAAUUUUGAAAAACGAAAAUCGGCCUGAAAUAAUUCUUCCUGCAAAAAAUGAGUCUUUAGCAAACAGUUUGAUUCACAACGGACUAGUACUAGCCGGCGAGGUCGUAGAUUUGUUAAUAUCAGGCUGUCAUAAAGGUUCAGAUUUCUUGUACGGAAAUCAGACAAGUAAAUCCAAAUUUACCAACUCAAAUUGGAAAAAACCUAAGUAUUUAGACUUUAUUAUCUUUACGGACGAACUUUUUAUUUAUAUUGAUUGCAUGACCAGAGAUUAUCUCAGGGAUGAUCUUCAGAAAGCUGUCAAUUAUGGAUCAGCACAUUCCGCAAAUGAAGUAAUUGAUUAUCUCCAGAAAAAUAUUAAAAAACCUCAAGCAGAGCGAGAACUGCAAACUUCUGAAUCAGUUUGCAAUGCUGUUGAAGAUAUUAAACCAGGUGGUUAUGAAAAAUGUGUUUCAGAUUGGGAUAAAAUAAAAUCUUGUUAUGAGUCUCAAACCAAAACUCCACCCAAAAACCGGGGUUUUGUGAAAUUCAUGAAACAAGUAUUUCCAAGAAAAUGGGUUAGAAGUGUAGUAGAUUUGGAUAAGAGUUGUAAAUUAAAAAAAGGUCAAAACUUUGAAUGUAACAUUCGAAGAGGACCUAUUGGUACAACAAAACAAAUGGAAUAUAUUGUCCAAACAUUUACUGGUAAAAAUUUAAAAAAAAGAUCUCCUUUAUCAAAAGUAAUUCGUCUUUUUUCGAGAGUAAUUUCGAAAAGUUCAAUGGCUAAAAGUAUGGUUCAAGAUUGCUCUGAUUAUGUUCUUAUUUACGAUCAAGGGGAAAAAAGAAAAAGAGAAUUGAAGAAAAAAUCAGAAAAGAAUCCUAAAGAAUUUAAAAGAUAUCAGAAAGUUUCUAAAUCACUGGAUGAUUUUAAGAAUGGUGUAACUCAAGAUUUAUUAAACGCUGUUAUCGAGUCUAAUCAAAUUCCUAUUUAUAUAGAGAAAUCUUUGAGAAAAGCUACACUUAAAUAUUUUAAUUGGCAAAGUUUUUCUGUGGUUUUGCAAACCUUGUCUGAGUGGGUUGGUACAUUUUUUGCCAGUGAUAAAAGAUUCGUUAAAGAAAAUUUUAAGGCUAAUCAAGAUCUGGGUUCUUAUCAUCAAAAGUCUCAAGAUCUUAUUGAAGUAAAUGAAGAAUUUCCAGAUUUGAAAAAACCCAUCUCAAAGGAGAAAGCUCUUGAUAACUUGCUAAGAACGAUGAAUCAAGUCAGCAGUGAAAAUAGAAAUGUAACUAGAUAUUCAGCAAUUUCUAGUGGACUUAAUAAUAUUUUGUUGGUAUUGAUGUUUUUGGAAACGCUUUCUGCUGUUGUGAUAUUAAUGAAGGCUAAUAUUGAAAUUUAUUCUUCAAAUGAAGAAGCGAGUGUACCAAAUGAAAUAAAUGCAACAAUUGGGCCAACUGAAUCAAAUGUACAAACUGAACCAACUGUACCAACGGAGCCGACUGAAAAUGAUGCUUCAGAUUCAGAACCGUCAAAUGAAGAUCUUCGUAGAAAAAAAAGGUCAUUUAUUCCUGAAUCUGAUAUUACUUUUGCAUCUGAUCUUCCUGAUAAUGGCAUUCUUCCAUUAGAAAGUACAAAUAAUAUUUUUAAUUUUACAAAUAAUAAAAAAGGAAUUAAUGAUAUUAGUGAUUCAUUUAAUGAAGCGGACAAUGAAAUUAUUCCAGUUUUGCAUACAGAAAGUCUAAGUUUGUGUCGUAAUGAAAGUAUUGUGUUCGGUUAUUCUUCUUCUAGGGAAUUUAUUAAAUCAAUUUUAAAAGAUGAAGAGAAUCUUUGAAUUUACGUGAAAAAUACAAAAUAUUUAAUUAAGUUAAUACAAUAAUAAAAUAAAUACAAUAUUACAACUCAGACCAUGAAAAUAGAAAAAAUAACAUUUUAAUUCAAUUUAUUGUUGGAAUGCAUUUAGUGGAAGGAUAUUCGUUUAGUCAACAUUUUCAGAGAAGUCGUCGGAUAAGUGGGCAUUUUAUUUCUGCAGAAUGAAAUUUUUCUAUGAAAUAGUUUCUUAUUUUGCAUUUCAUAAACUUUGAAAUAUAAUUGCCUGAUUAUAAUUGGAUUCAAGAAGCACAUUUUUACAGCACAGUUUAUCUUUUUGUGACUAGCUUUAAGAUAAUCUUUUUGUCAAAUAAUUAUAUUUGCUUAAAAAUAUAUCCACUUGGUUCAAACCCAGACAGGUACGAGAAGGAUUA